CCUACGGGCGGCAGCAGUGAGGAAUAUUGGUCAAUGGACGAGAGUCUGAACCAGCCAAGUAGCGUGAAGGAUGACUGCCCUAUGGGUUGUAAACUUCUUUUAUAUGGGAAUAAAACGUUCCACGUGUGGGAUUUUGUAUGUACCAUAUGAAUAAGGAUCGGCUAACUCCGUGCCAGCAGCCGCGGUAAUACGGAGGAUCCGAGCGUUAUCCGGAUUUAUUGGGUUUAAAGGGUGCGUAGGUGGAUUGUUAAGUCAGUUGUGAAAGUUUGCGGCUCAACCGUAAAAUUGCAGUUGAAACUGGCAGUCUUGAGUACAGUAGAGGUGUGCGGAAUUCGUGGUGUAGCGGUGAAAUGCUUAGAUAUCACGAAGAACUCCGAUUGCGAAGGCAGUUCACUGGACUGCAACUGACACUGAGGCUCGAAAGUGUGGGUAUCAAACAGGAUUAGAUACCCCUGUAGUC
rnacentral:rRNA from 1 species